AUGAUGAUGGUGUAUCAUUCGUGCUUUCUUUCGCUGUGACUCAUUGUCAAACAGGACCUUGAGGUGAAAUCGGAAUAUUCAAUGUGCAUCGUAAAGUUUUUGGACUUCGAUAUUGACGUUACAUUAAAUAUUUGGAUAAUGCACGUUUUAACAUAUACAGUGGCCACGAAGAUCAAUGAUAAUAGAAUUUUAUAAACACGAGCUAGAAAAUUAGUGGUGGAGGACGAACUUUGCCGGUGGCGAUACUGCAAUAUGUCUUUUUUUAGCGGUUCCUAGUGUUCCGUUGAUUUUUCUCUUUUUGCCUUAACGGUCGGUCGUUUAGCAAAGAAUGUAACUGGACCUUUCUAAAUUCUGUGCUCGCACGUUUUACUCUGUUUUUAUGAAUCUUAUUUGCCAAUCUGGUUGACCAGAUUUUAUGCCUAAACGAUCGGAUCACUUAAGAUCCCUUUAUUUGUAUUUCAAGAUCAUCUUUUUUUCGACACGAUUUUCAACUUGAAUAACAUUUUUUGAGUGAAAGGAAAAUGCUAAGAUAUUUUUGCUAACUGCGAACUCGUUAUGUCUUACAACCGGAAGAUUUAUAUUUUAGGUUUGCCUGUGGGAAAAAAGUAACUGGCGAAAGGAAAAGUUAAACAUUAUUACCUCCAUAGUUUCGCUAAAGUCUUCCAACUAUUUUCUCGAAUAAUAAUUUGCAACAUCGUUCCAGUUUUUUUCUGUUCGGUUAUGUCAUCGUUGUUCUUUCUGUUUAUUUCGUUUUUUAACAUAAGUUAAGAUUCUAAAGAAUAAUACAGCUAUUUGUUUAACUUAAAUUUUUCAAGUUGCCAAAUUAAAAAAUUUUUAAAUAUUCAGAUUCUUGAAUUUCCAAAUUCGUAAUAGAGUAUGCAUAAAAGUUAUGCGAUCUUGCAAUUACAAUAAUUUGAACUUAUAUUGGUAUCAUUGCGCGCUGUUUCAAAGCCAGUCUCGCCAACAAAAGAAUAUCAAACUUGCGUACCAUUUUAUGCACUUGUUGUUGUUGUCUACGAGAUACUCGUGUUAGAUUAGUUUGCGAGGUCAUAACAAAUAACAGUAUUAUUACAAAAUGGUUAAACUAACGCCAGAACUAAUACAGCAGUCUAUGCAAUACAUAAAUCCUGUAAAGGAUCGUGAAUUGGAUCUCAGAGGAUACAAAAUACCUACAAUUGAAAACUUGGGUGCAACAUUGGAUCAGUUUGAUACUAUUGAUUUCUCUGACAAUGAUAUUAGAAAACUGGAUGGAUUUCCUCUUUUGAAACGAAUCAAAACCCUCUUCUUCAAUAAUAAUCGUAUUGUUAGAAUUGGCGAAGGCUUAGAACACUGUAUACCAAAUUUGGAAACUCUUAUGUUAACGGGAAACAUGAUUCAAGAGCUUGGAGAUUUGGAGCCAUUAACACAACUGAAAAAUUUAACCAACCUGUGUUUGCUUCAAAAUCCAGUCUCUGCGAAGCCUCAGUACAGACAAUAUGUUGUAUAUAGGUUUCCACAACUGAGACUCCUAGACUUUAGAAAGAUUAAAAUGAAAGAACGGGAGGCUGCAAUUGCUUACUUCAGAAGUAAAAGAGGAAAGGAAAUGGUUCGUGAAAUAGCUAAGAAGGUGAAAACACAGAGUUCUGGUGCAUCUGUAGAUAAACCAUUAACCACUCCAGAAGAACGUAACAAAAUUAGAGAAGCUAUUACAAAUGCUACUUCUUUGGAAGAAGUACAACGCCUGAGUAAAUUACUUCAAGCUGGACACAUGCCUAGUGAAGAACGUUUACAAAAUGGAAAUACAAUGCCUGAAGCAAUGGAAGAAGAGGAUGAUUAAAUAUUUUACAUGUUAUUUGAGAACUUAGAUUAAAAAAGAUUAAUCUUUUUUAUUUCUUGGCAAAAAGAAUUACAUAUACCUUUUUUAUGUUGUGUAUGAAAAUACAUACAUACACCAGCUUUACACGAGUUACGUAAGGU
rnacentral:misc_RNA from 1 species